rnacentral:rRNA from 1 species
UACAGAGGUCUCAAGCGUUGUUCGGAUUCAUUGGGCGUAAAGGGUGCGUAGGCGGCGCGGUAAGUCGGGUGUGAAAUCUCGGAGCUUAACUCCGAAACUGCAUUCGAUACUGCCGUGCUUGAGGACUGGAGAGGAGACUGGAAUUCCUGGUGUAGCGGUGAAAUGCGCAGAUAUCAGGAAGAACACCCGUGGCGAAGGCGGCUCUCUGGGACGGUACUGACGCUGAGACGCGAAAGCGUGGGGAGCGAACAGG